GGGAAGGUGAGAGGGUUAGAAUGAUUUAAAGGGAUACUUUGGGAUUUUAGCAAUGAGGCCUUUUAUCUACUUCCCCAGAGUCAGAAGAACUCAUGGAUACCAUUUUUAUGUCUUUGUGUCCAGUUCAAAGGAACUUUGAUUUCGGGAGCCAAUGCUGACUAGAGUUACUGUAGUGUAAUGGCUGGAAGUCUAAGGGUAUCUGCUAGCAUGCUGUCCACAAGUUCAUCUGACUCUGGAGAAGUUGAUAAAGGGCUUCAUUGCCAAAAUUCCACAGUAUCCCUUUAAUUAUGGGUUUCACUUUCAAAUCAUAGUGAAAUGAGCUUACAACUCAUUAGCUUCUUCUUAGCCGCUCGUAACAAGGCAUAUUUACGUCCCGUUAAACUAUUCAUUCACAUUCCAUCGUUUUGCAAGUGAACACUGCCAGUUACAUGGAAUGUAAUGCAUGCUGUAGUGAUGAGACAUCCUGUGUUUUUCUUCAAAGGGCCCCUGUGAGAAGGAGAGAGAGGGGGGAGGGAAGCAAAGGGGAGUGGAGAGAGAGAGAACGACAGAAAGAAUACAUGCAUAACAGGGUAACUGUUGCAUCAGCAAAUCUUCUCAGGUUGCCCUGUUUGGGGUGUGUGUGUGUGUGUGUGUGUGUGUGUGUGUGUGUGUGUGUCUGUGUUCCUCAAUCUCACUCAGGUGUGUGAAAUAUUAUCUCUCUAUACUGUAGCUGCCCCAAUAGUGAUGGUCCACAGAGAAGCUCGCCAGCCAUCAGCCAAGCUCCUGCUUAUGAGAUGGUACCAGGGUGCCUCCUCUGCUCACACUGCUUUGGACUCCCCCUUGUGGUUAGAGGGGAGACAUGAACAUAUACACAAACAUCCCUUUCUGAGUGUGCAUCCAUGGCUGUGUCAGCCUUUUGUCUCCUGUGCCUCCUUCCCUAACCUCGUGGAGCACCAGGCCACGCCACUUAUCUGUGGAAUUCGCCGUGCCCCUCUCCCCUCUCAUCAACACCUCCUUGUGGAGCUAGCCCUUUGUCAAAACAGGCCCUGGCCUCAAAGGCUGUCUGCUCUAUGUUCAGAUAAAGAAUUUCAGCCCAACUUCAAUUUGUUCUCACAUUGUCAGAGAAGCUCAUCUGGAUGGCUUAUAGGGAGGGGAGACCAGUAA
rnacentral:lncRNA from 13 species